AACGAACGCUGGCGGCGCGUCUUAAGCAUGCAAGUCGUACGGCAAGAGAGGAGCUUGCUUCUCUCCUAGAGUGGCGGACUGGUGAGGAACACGUGGGUAAUCUACCCUUAAGUUGGGGAUAGCUGCUAGAAAUAGCAGAUAAUACCGAAUACACUCGGUCUUUCAUAAGAGAGAUUGAGGAAAGAGGCUACGGCCUCGCUUGAGGAUGAGCUUGCGUCCCAUUAGCUAGUUGGUGAGGUAAAGGCUCACCAAGGCAACGAUGGGUAUCCGGCCUGAGAGGGUGAUCGGACACAUUGGGACUGAGAUACGGCCCAAACUCCUACGGGAGGCAGCAGCUAAGAAUAUUCCGCAAUGGACGAAAGUCUGACGGAGCGACGCCGCGUGGAUGAAGAAGGCUGAAAAGUUGUAAAAUCCUUUGUUGAUGAAGAAUAAGGAUAAGAGGGAAUGCUUAUCUGAUGACGGUAAUCAGCGAAUAAGCCCC
rnacentral:rRNA from 1 species